rnacentral:rRNA from 1 species
GACGAACGCUGGCGGCGUGCUUAACACAUGCAAGUCGAACGGAAAGGCCCUGCUUUUGUGGGGUGCUCGAGUGGCGAACGGGUGAGUAACACAUGAGUAACCUGCCCUUGACUUUGGGAUAACUUCAGGAAACUGGGGCUAAUACCGGAUAGGAGCUCCUGCUGCAUGGUGGGGGUUGGAAAGUGUCGGCGGUGGGGGAUGGACUCGCGGCUUAUCAGCUUGUUGGUGGGGUAGUUGCUUACCAAGGCUUUGACGGGUAGCCGGCCUGAGAGGGUGACCGGCCACAUUGGGACUGCGAUACGGACCAGACUCCUACGGGAGGCAGCAGUGGGGAAUAUUGCACAAUGGGCGGAAGCCUGAUGCAGCAACGCCGCGUGCGGGAUGACGGCCUUCGGGUUGUAAACCGCUUUCGCCUGUGACGAAGCGUGAGUGACGGUAAUGGGUAAAGAAGCACCGGCUAACUACGUG